rnacentral:rRNA from 1 species
GAGUUACGAUUUGAUGCAAGGUUAAGCAGUAAAUGUGGAGCCGUAGCGAAAGCGAGUCUGAAUAGGGCGUUUAGUAUUUGGUCGUAGACCCGAAACCAGGUGAUCUACCCUUGGUCAGGUUGAAGUUCAGGUAACACUGAAUGGAGGACCGAACCGACUUACGUUGAAAAGUGAGCGGAUGAACUGAGGGUAGCGGAGAAAUUCCAAUCGAACCUGGAGAUAGCUGGUUCUCUCCGAAAUAGCUUUAGGGCUAGCCUCAAGUGAUGAUUAUUGGAGGUAGAGCACUGUUUGGACGAGGGGCCCCUCUCGGGUUACCGAAUUCAGACAAACUCCGAAUGCCAAUUAAUUUAACUUGGGAGUCAGAACAUGGGUGAUAAGGUCCGUGUUCGAAAGGGAAACAGCCCAGACCACCAGCUAAGGUCCCAAAAUAUAUGUUAAGUGGAAAAGGAUGUGGCGUUGCCCAGACAACUAGGAUGUUGGCUUAGAAGCAGCCAUCAUUUAAAGAGUGCGUAAUAGCUCACUAGUCGAGUGACACUGCGCCGAAAAUGUACCGGGGCUAAACAUAUUACCGAAGCUGUGGAUUGUCCUUUGGACAAUGGUA